GAUAAACGCUGGCGGCGUGCCUGACACAUGCAAGUCGAACGCUCUCCGUCCUCGGACGGAGGGAGUGGCGGACGGGUGAGUAACACGUGGGUAAUCUGCCCUGAGGUGAGGAAUACCGACGAGAAAUCGUCGACAAUACCGCAUAGGCUCGGCAACGAGCAAAGCUUCGCAUCAGCGAGGUACCACAGGAUGAGCCCGCGGCCGAUUAGCUCGUUGGUGGGGUAAUGGCCUACCAAGGCGACGAUCGGUAGCUGGUCUGAGAGGACGAGCAGCCACACUGGGAUUGAGAACGGCCCAGACUCCUACGGGAGGCAGCAGUGAGGAAUUUUCCGCAAUGGACGCAAGUCUGACGGAGCAACGCCGCGUGCAGGACGAAGGUCUUCGGAUCGUAAACUGCUUUUAUCAGGGAAGAGAAUGGACGGUACCUGAUGAAUAAGCCCCGGCUAACUACGUGCCAGCAGCCGCGGUAAUACGUAGGGGGCGAGCGUUAUCCGGAUUUAUUGGGCGUAAAGCGCACGCAGGCGGUCUGUCAAGUUCGAGGUGACAGUCACCAGCUUAACUGGUGGAGUACCUUGAAAACUGGCAGACUUGAGGGCCAGAGAGGGACACGGAAUUCCGGGUGGAGUGGUGAAAUGCGUAGAUAUCCGGAGGAACACCAAAGGCGAAGGCAGUGUCCUGGCUGGUACCUGACGCUCAAGUGCGAAAGCUAGGGGAGCGAACGGGAUUAGAUACCCCGGUAGUCCUAGCCGUAAACAAUGACCACUAGGUGUGCGGGGUUCGACCCCCUGCGUACCGUAGUCAACACAAUAAGUGGUCCGCCUGGGGAGUACGGUCGCAAGACUAAAACUCAAAGGAAUUGACGGGGACCCGCACAAGCAGCGGAGCGUGUGGUUUAAUUCGAUGCAACACGAAGAACCUUACCAGAGCUUGACAUGGGCAUGAUCACAGCAGAAAUGUUGUUCCCUUCGGGGCAUGUCCACAGGUGCUGCAUGGCUGUCGUCAGCUCGUGCCGUGAGGUGUUGGGUUAAGUCCCGCAACGAGCGCAACCCUUAUCGUCAGUUAGAAAUGUCUGACGAGACUGCCACGAUAAAGGUGGAGGAAGGUGGGGAUGACGUCAAGUCAGCACGGCCCUUACGUUCUGGGCAACACACACGCUACAAUGGUCGGUACAGAGGGAAGCGAAAGGGCGACCUGGAGCCAAUCUCAAAAAGCCGAUCUCAGUUCGGAUUGGAGUCUGCAACUCGACUCCAUGAAGUUGGAAUCGCUAGUAAUCGCGGAUCAGCACGCCGCGGUGAAUACGUUCCCGGGCCUUGUACACACCGCCCGUCACACCAUGGGAGCUGACUCAACCAGAAGACGGUCAGGCUAACCGCAAGGAGGCCUCCGGCGAAGGUGGGGUUGGUGACUGGGGUG
rnacentral:rRNA from 1 species